CGGACGGGUGAGUAAUGUCUGGGAAACUGCCUGAUGGAGGGGGGUAACUACUGGAAACGGUAGCUAAUACCGCAUAACGUCGCAAGACCAAAGAGGGGACCGUUAGGGCCUCUUGCCAUCGGAUGUGCCCAGAUGGGAUUAGCUAGUAGGUGGGGUAACGGCUCACCUAGGCGACGAUCCCUAGCUGGUCUGAGAGGAUGACCAGCCACACUGGAACUGAGACACGGUCCAG
rnacentral:rRNA from 1 species